rnacentral:lncRNA from 1 species
AUUUUCUAUUAACAUAGCUGUGCUAAACGAAGGAACUUCAUCAAAAUGCUCAACUCCGAUUGAUAUAAUAAUGGCUGAAGAGAAUAAAGAGCCGAACAAUCCACCGCUCAACUCCCAACGACAACACGCGCCACAGGCUCCAAAAAUUACAUUAAAAACUCUGUAUAACAAACCGAAUUGAAACCCUUUCAACGUAAGCUGAGUCGAGCGGAGGAUUGACCAUUCUCUUCAGCUAUUGCUAAGUCGACCGCAGUUCAUCAUUUUGAUGAAGUUAUUCCUCCGUCAGCUUGCCAACUGUUAUUCCACUCUUAAGUCAUUGUUAUAUUAAUUAAACAUAUCGCUUCUGCCAUCGCCAAAAUCAUCUCUAAAGCUAAAUAAUUGCUACAAGGAAGACAUGCCACUAAUGGAACAAUAAAAAUAUUGUUAACAACCAAGCUCUUCAAAGGCGCUUUCAGGAAAAAAGUUGCGAAAAUGUUCAUUAACUAUUCCCAGCCAGUAGCAGCAGCAGGAGGAGGCGGCGGCGGCAUUACAUCAACUCCAGCAACAUCAACUCCAGCAUCAACUCCAGGUGCUGCCAUUGGCGGCGGGGCAGCCAUAUCCCAUCCAUCAGCAGUUACUCCUGCAAUUUAUAGGAUUCUCAAAUGUUCAAAUUCUUGGAAUUUGAGAGAACAACUUCUUUGACCGAGAAAACAAAAUAAAUACUAGAAGAUCCUUCAGACUGGAACAUGCAUUAGAACAUAAAUAACAUAGUAAAUGUUUCACAGCUCAUUUUUUAAGACGAUGUCCACUCAAAUUAAAGAGAUAAUUUUAAGUUUUUCACAGUUAUAAAUUUCACCCAUUAAACACGAUAAAGGGAAUGUUGAGGAAUGUUAUUUGCACAGAAACUCAAAAAUCAAUUGCUUGGUACAAGAGAGAACACUAACCAACAUCAGCAGUCCAACCACUGGCAGCUGGUGGAAUAGCACUUGCUAUCUCAGGAGCCCAUUGAGCUUCCGGAAUUUGACCACUAGACCAAUCCGCCCCAGUUAGUGGACCAGCUGUAUAAUCACCAUAAUCUGGGAGUGCAGGUACUUCCUCCUCUUCUUGUUCCUUGGCUUCCUCAGGCUCCCUGUAGAAAAAUAGAUCAACCUGCCAACAGAGAUAAAAUCAAGUAUUAAACACGUAUUGCAAUUCAAGUGUGACACAACAGAUUAGAGUCCUUGUGUACCUCCAAGAAUGGUCAAAAUUUAGCCACUUAAACAAAAGAACAAAACUAUAUAUAACAUUUACCAUGAUAUCCCACUUGUGUCCAGGAGCAAUGACACCACGCAUUUGAAGAACCAUCCUUGCUAAGAGCCAAAACAGACAACCAAUGCUGUGCUUCCCCUUGUUAUUGGCAGGGAUACCAAUAUCAACAUAUCGCAUAGGGGAAUCAGUAUCACAGAAAGCAAUGGUGGGGAUGUUCCCAAGUGCACCUUCCUUAAUAGGCUGAAACAUAUUCAUAUUAAAAUCCAGGAUAAUGAUUAGUAAACAAUGUUUGCAGCUCUAUGGUAUAGCUGCACCAAGAUGUAAAAAUACAAACGACUGACCUGGUGAUCAGUCCUUGGAUCAGUAAGGAUGAGAAGACGUGGCUCGCUGAAUGAGGUCUGAAGUUGGUUGGUGAAUGUUCCAGGAGUAUGGCGUCCAGCAAUUGCAUGAGCCCCGGUGUACUGGGCAAACUUCAAGACAGCCCUUUGCCCAUAUGGCCUUGCGGAUUGAACAAUGAUAUCCUGAGGGUUCUCGAUAGCAACAAUAACCCUUGCUGCCAUCUGAAGCUUGUCCCAUGUUUUUCCAAGGUUGAUGAUGUAAAUUCCUAGACAGCAAAAUACAAUAAUUAAAAACGUUUAUUAAUGAAAUCCAAAAUAUUCAAAUCUAUAGCUCGGCAAGUAAAUUCAUCGGACAUGUCACGGCCAAAAGGGCUGCACAAAGUUUAUAAUUAGAAUCUGUUGAAUAUAAAGAACAAAAUGAAUCGGAGAAAGAGAUCAAAACUACAAAAAAAAUUAACUUGAACCAAGGUCAUGAUAGAUUAUAUUCGAAUAUUGACUUGACUCAGCUGAAUAGCAUGAAUAUGCAGCCAAAGCCCAUAUUAGUUUCAUUGAAUUCUGAACAAACAAAAAUCUAUGGAAGGGAAGUGACUACAUAUUUGCUAAAAGAAAUCAUCUUAGGUUCAUUUGAUUCUUAUCAUAAGCUGCAUCAUCUUAUCGUGUAGCACGCAUAACUGAAGGAUUGACCAAUAUAAUUUAUAGUGCAACAAAUUUAAGAACACAAAAAUUUAUAACACGAAAAACAUUAACCAGAAAUUUAAUCAGAAGAAUUAGACAAAAAAUUAUUGACAAACCAACUCAAGAAAUUUUAGAAAAUUAUACAUCUACGAUUAAUAUCUUUGAUCACAGGGCUGCUCAUAGGAAACAUAUAAUAGGAGUAAAAUCACCAAAAAUGUAAGAAGAUAAAACCCUAAUACAUAAAUAACAAUGUAAUCGAUUAAUAUUCAAAGCAGGUAGAUCCAAUCCGGGCAAAAGGUAAAAUUUAAAUUGAUUUAUUCCUUUCAUGCCAUUAAGAUUAAUAUAUCGCUAGCACCUUACUUAUCAAAUUGACAAAACUAGAAUUCCAUAGGGCAGAUCAAAACUCAAAAAAUUCAAGAUCAAAACUCAAAAAAUUCACACUAAUCUAAUUUUAUAAUAACAAAAAUAAACCAUCAUCUACUCAAAAAUACAAAUAAAGAUGCAGAUUUAUAUAUAGUAAUUAUGCAUAAAUAUAAAACAUCGUCUGAUGAUAAACAUAACAUAAUGUUUCAUUUGGAAAUCACAGUUUUUGGUAUUGCACAUUAUUUAUCAAAUGAACUACCUAGAAUUCUAUAAGAUAAAUCACAAUUAACAACUGAAAAGAUUCACGCUAGAACGGAUCCGCGAUCUCACUAAGCAAACCGUCUAAUAACAAUUAUAAAUGCAAAUCUACGCCUAUAUAGUAAUGUAUGUAAAUAUAUCUACCGUCAUUUCGGCGCUUGAAGACGUAACGCUCCAUUUGAAAGUCACAGUUUUUGGUGCCGAGGUGAACUUCGGCGGCCAACAUCAUUUGAAUGUCGGCCUCUUUUGUUGAAAGAAUCCUUGGUCCGGUCGCCAUUUUUGGUGCUUCCCCUUGCCCUUUGCUUUGCUAGGGUUUUGGAUUUUGCUCUGGCUCAGAGGAACGUAGGUAAAAUGCGAUAAUGCGAAUGCUUGUGGAUUGGUAUUUAUGUAAAUUAGAAUGGAAUUUAUAUACAUUGAAAACCCUAGUGAAAUUUGGUUAGUGCUAGGCCUUCCACAGUUUGGGCUGAGUAUAUGAGCUUGACUUCAUUGGAACUGGAUUCUGUAAUUAUUUGGGCCCUUGAGCCCAACAAUGCUGUAGUCCCUUUUCUUUUGAAGGAAUUCCCUCCGACACUUUUAAAUAAGACAAUUAAUUCCGUCAACUAUUUUUGAAAAUAAGGUUAUCUAGCACUAGUUCAUGUUGCUACAAUUUAUAAGUUCUAUUAAAUGAAUCGUGUGACUUUGCAUUAAAUGAAUUUAUCAUUUAAUAUUGUGUAAUUAUCAUUUAGACGGAUGCUUAAUAUCAGUGGUAUUAAAUAGUAGGGUAAUUAGCACAAAACAUCCCUACGUUUCGAUGUUUUUGUGGAAAACGUCCCUACCUUUCAUUUUUUGGUGGAUUACACCCUUACCUUUACAUUUUUUUGCGCAAAACGUCCUUCUGUCAACUUUCCGUUAAAAUACUCCGUUAAAUCAAAAAGGUAAUUAGCACAAAAGGUCCCUACCUUUCAAAGUUAUUGUGCAAAACGUCCCUACCUUUUAUUUUUUAGCAUAAUUAGCAGAAAAGAUCCCUACCUUUCAAUAUUAUUGUGCAAAACGUCCCUACCUUUCAUUUUUAGCAUUUUCACCCCUACCUUUCACCUUUCAUUGCAAAAAAGUCAUUCUCAUCCUUUUUUUUUAAUAAAAUGACGAUUUUACCCUCAUAUUCAAAUAAAACAAAAAGAAAAGAUGAAUUACCAACUGCAACCAUAAUCCUUAAAUUUUUAAAAAAUUACAAAAAAUCAUAAAUUCUCAACCACCACCAUUUUCACAACCUAUCAAGCUGCCAACUAUAAAUCCACAUAAUACCACCUUUCGGCCACCAUGCCCACCGGACUCCAUCACUGUAAAUGUGGUUGUUUCGGACAGAUUGGUGACCAAUACUAUGGAGGAGGAUAUUGGGGAGAGUGAGGCGACGCUGGUGGUGGUAGAGUCCUAUGUGUUGUGGUCGAAAAGUGGUGCUAUAUGGAUCUAUAGGUGGUGGCUUGGUGGGGUUGUGAAAGUGGCGGUAGUGGAGAAUUUAGGAUUUAUCUGUAAUGUUUUGAAAGAUUUAGAACUAUGAUUGCAAUUAAUUGAUUAUUUUUUCUUUUCUUUUUGUUUUAUUUCAAUAGGAGGGUAAAAUCGUCAUUUUAUUGAAAAAAUGGAUGAAAGGACCUUUUGCGCAAUGAAAGGUGAAAUGUAGGGGUAAAAAUGCUAAAAAUGAAAGGUAUGGACGUUUUGCACAAUAAUAUUGAAAGAUAGGGACAUUUUCUGCUAAUUAUGCUAAAAAUAAAAGGUAGGGACGUUUUGCACAAUAACUUUGAAAGGUAGGGACCUUUUCUGCUAAUUACCUUUUUGAUUUAACGGAGCAUUUUAACAGAGACUUGACAGAAGGACGUUUUGCGCAAAAAAAUGUAAAGGUAAGGGUGUAAUCCACCAAAAAAUGAAAGGUAGGGACGUUUUUCACAAAAAUAUCGAAAGGUAGGGAUGUUUUGUGCUAAUUACCAUAAAUAGUAUUACACAACUACAAAAGCUUGUUUAGCACAAAAUUUUUUUCAAGCAAAAACUCAUUUUUAUGGAAAAUGUAUAAGUGAAAAGUAAAAAAUAUUGUUGGGUCCUAUAGAAUCCGCGGUUGAAAAUAAUGAAGAAAUAUAAUUUAUUUUUUAUUUUUUAUUUUUGCCCAAACAAGCUUUAAGUUUUUUAAUAACUUUAUUAAAAAUAUAUAUAUUUUUUUUUUUGACAAAUAUGCCAUUCUGACUUCUAACGUGUUUUCAAAUUAGAAAAUGUGGAUGAUGAUUUCUAGCCCAUUUAGAUAAUUUUUGAGGACAACGUCAAGGAGUCGUUUGUGAAUACCUACGACACCCUCGUAGAUUGGCACCCGCAAUCUCAUUUAUCCCGCCCUUGAAUCUCGUGACCUGUUAAUUGGAAAGGUGGAUGAUUCGUUGGUAUUGAUCUGGUGCGUUCAAACCUAUUAACAGUUCACGUGAGCCAUAUGUCCUGAGAUAUUGGUGGUGAACAUUAGUGCAGAAUAUAAUUUUUAGCUUACUGGUGCUGAAUAGUUGGUUGCUGACUUUUAACCGAGUUGAAGACUCCUAUUGAGAUAGCAAUAAAAUACAUUUUCUAUUAACAUAUCAGUGGUAAACGAAGGAACAACUUCAUCAAAAUGCUCAACUCCGACUGAUAUAUAAUGGUUGAAGAGAAUAAAGAGUCGAGCAAUCCACACUCAACUCCCAACGACAACACGCGCCACAGGCUCCAAAAAUUACAUUCAAAACUCUAAAUAACAAACCAAAUUGAAACCCCUUCAACAUAAGCUCAUAUUUUGUUGGAGCCCAUGGCACGAGUUGCUAUCAGAGUUGAGCGGAGGAUUGACUAUUCACUUCAGCUAUUGCUAAUCAACCGGAGUUCAGCAUUUUGAUGCUCCGUCAGCCAUUGCCAAUUGUUAUUCUACUCUCAAGUCAUUGUUAUGUUAAUUAAACAUAUCACUUCUGUUGCCAUCGCCAAAAUCAUCUCUAAAGCUAAAUAAUUGCUACAAAGGAGACGUGCCACUAAUGGAACAAUAAAAAUAUUUUAAACAACCAAGCUCUUCAAAAGCGCUUUCAGGAAAAAAGUUGCGAAAAUGUUCAUUAACUAUCCCAGCCAGUAGCAGCAGGAGGCGGCGGCGGCAUUACAUCAACUCCAGCAACAUCAACUCCAGCAUCAACUCCAGGUGCUGCCAUUGGCGGCGGGGCAGNNN